rnacentral:tRNA from 1 species
GAAUCAGUAGCUCAGAGGUAGAGCCUUCGCCUGAUAAGCGAACAGGCCCAGAUUGGACUCCCGGCUGCUUAC